rnacentral:rRNA from 1 species
GACGAACGCUGGCGGCGUGCCUAAUACAUGCAAGUUGAGCGCUGAAGGUUGGUACUUGUACCAACUGGAUGAGCAGCGAACGGGUGCGUAACGCGUGGGGAAUCUGCCUUUGAGCGGGGGACAACAUUUGGAAACGAAUGCUAAUACCGCAUAAAAACUUUAAACACAAGUUUUAAGUUUGAAAGAUGCAAUUGCAUCACUCAAAGAUGAUCCCGCGUUGUAUUAGCUAGUUGGUGAGGUAAAGGCUCACCAAGGCGAUGAUACAUAGCCGACCUGAGAGGGUGAUCGGCCACAUUGGGACUGAGACACGGCCCAAACUCCUACGGGAGGCAGCAGUAGGGAAUCUUCGGAAAUGGACGAAAGGCUGACCGAGCAACGCCGCGUGAGUGAAGAAGGUUUUCGGAUCGUAAAACUCUGUUGGUAGAGAAGAACGUUGGUGAGAGUGGAAAGCUCAUCAAGUGACGGUAACUACCCAGAAAGGGACGGCUAACUACGUG